CGGCAAUAGCCCAAAACUCAAAGGACUUGGCGGUGCUUUAUACCCUUCUAGAGGAGCCUGUUCUAUAAUCGAUAAACCCCGAUAAACCUCACCAAUCCUUGCUAAUUCAGUCUAUAUACCGCCAUCUUCAGCAAACCCUAAAAAGGAAUAAAAGUAAGCUCAAUCAUAUUGCAUAAAGACGUUAGGUCAAGGUGUAACCUAUGGAGUGGGAAGAAAUGGGCUACAUUUUCUAUCCCUAGAA
rnacentral:rRNA from 1 species